GCAUAUCAAUAAGCGGAGGAAAAGAAACCAACAGGGAUUGCCUCAGUAACGGCGAAGUGAAGCGGCAAAAGCUCAAAUUUGAAAUCUAGUACCUUCGGUGCUUCGAGUUGUAAUUUGAAGGUAGUUUUCUGGUGCUGGCCCUUGUCUAUGUUCCUUGGAACAGGACGUCAUAGAGGGUGAGAAUCCCGUCUGAUGGGGUGUCCAGUGCUUUGUAGAUUUCUACCGAAGAGUCGAGUUGUUUGGGAAUGCAGCUCUAAGUGGGUGGUAAAUUCCAUCUAAAGCUAAAUACUGGCGAGAGACCGAUAGCGAACAAGUACAGUGAUGGAAAGAUGAAAAGAACUUUGAAAAGAGAGUGAAAAAGUACGUGAAAUUGUUGAAAGGGAAGGGUAUUGGAUCAGACUUGGUGUCUUGUGAUUAUCUUCCCUUCUUGGGUUGUGCACUCGCAUUUCACUGGGCCAGCAUCGGUUCGGAUGGCAAGAUAAUGGCUUGGGAAUGUGGCACUCUUCGGAGUGUGUUAUAGCCCUUGUUGAUGUUGCCUAUCUGGACCGAGGACUGCGGCUUUUGCCUAGGAUGCUGGCGUAAUGAUUCAAUACCGCCCGUCUUGAAACACGGACCAAGGAGUCUAACGUCUAUGCGAGUGUUUGGGUGUAAAACCCGUACGCGUAAUGAAAGUGAACGUAGGUGAGAGCCCGUAUGGGUGCAUCAUCGACCGAUCCUGAUGUUUUCGGAUGGAUUUGAGUAAGAGCAUAGCUGUUGGGACCCGAAAGAUGGUGAACUAUGCCUGAAUAGGGUGAAGCCAGAGGAAAACUCUGGUGGAGGCUCGUAGCGGUUUCUGACGUGCAAAUCGAUUCGUCGAAAUUUGGGGUAUAGGGGCGAAAGACUAAUCGAACCAUCUAGUAGCUGGUUCCUGCC
rnacentral:rRNA from 1 species